UGAAAGAAAAAAAAAUACAGCUGUAGCAAGAAGCCUCGCCCGGCUCUGCCCUAAUAGAGAACCGCAAGCCAGUUAACUCCUGCCGUGCCGCAGCCUCUCUCAGGGGAAAUAAACAGGGCGCGGAGUUGGAAGAGAAUCGGAGCUCAGUUCGCAGCCCCUGCUGUUUGGGCCUCACUGUGCAUCAGUGGAGGGCGGAGUUUCAGCUUUGGAGGAGAAACUGAAGGAUACACAAUGAACAGUGUGAUUGGAAAACAAGCCGUGUCUCUUGGAAUCAGAGCAGCCAGCGGAGCCCCCAGGUUGGGAUUAUGGGCGCCGGUUCUCAGCCAUCCCCAGCCCUUGAUUAGGGUCUGCCACACAGCUGCUGGUGGGGGGCACCCGGCCAAGUCUCAGGCCAUCAAGAAGAGGGGCUAUGACAUCACCAGGAACCCCUAUCUCAACAAGGUAACAUACUAGAUGUAUGGCUUGCAAUUGAUCUACUCCUUCUAUAUGUAAACCAUGGUUUUUCUAUAUUCAGCAUUGGAUCUGAACAAACUACAUGCCAAUGUUUCAUAAUUAUCCGUUUUAUAUCUGCUGCCUCAUCACUAUAGUUAGUCACAAAAUAAACUUUUUCUCUAUCA